UACGGAGGGUGCGAGCGUUGUCCGGAAUCAUUGGGCGUAAAGGGCGCGUAGGUGGCGGCUUAAGCGUGCGGUGAAAGCUCGGGGCUCAACCCCGAGUCGGCCGUGCGAACUGAGUCGCUUGAGCACUGUAGAGGCAGGCGGAAUUCCGGGUGUAGCGGUGGAAUGCGUAGAUAUCAGGAGGAACACCUGUGGCGAAAGCGGCUCACUGGACCAUAACUGACGCUGAUGCACGAAAGCUAGGGGAGCAAACAGG
rnacentral:rRNA from 1 species